GGGAGCCCGGGGACUGCCCCUAGGGGGCGCCAGGGCAGCAACCCAUGGCUCAGCAAGGGCAAGCCGAGGCAGCACGGGGGCUUUCAAAGCGCCUCGCGAGCCCCGAGGAAAGAGUUGCCGCAACGGAUGCAGCACCCAGGUGCCAGGUGGGGCACAGCUGUUUCCUGCCAGUACCUGCUCCAGCUGAAACAAAGCAAAAGGGAAAGUGCUGGAACUGCCACAAGGACAGGUCGGCGGCACUCUGCGCAUAGUUAGGGGCCUGCUUGUUUUCCAGGCCACCGGGGGUGAGACGGGAGAGGUGUGUUGCCACGCCUGGUUCCGGUAAGCAAAGAGGACGUGCUCAGCGUGCAAAGGGCACCAGGUUCUUUCCCUUUGUGUUUCCUGAUUAGCCAAGGGAAGAAACCCUGAUGAAUCACCGCGCUGUGAUUGCGUGGUGAGUCCACACAGGAGAACCCGAGCGCAGAGCGCUGUUGAUAUAAACCCAAUGCCCUCGUUAUGUAACCACA